rnacentral:rRNA from 1 species
AAUAUUGCACAAUGGGCGCAAGCCUGAUGCAGCGACGCCGCGUGGGGGAUGAAGGCCUUCGGGUUGUAAACCCCUUUCAGCAGGGAAGAAGCGAAAGUGACGGUACCUGCAGAAGAAGCGCCGGCUAACUACGUGCCAGCAGCCGCGGUAAUACGUAGGGCGCAAGCGUUGUCCGGAAUUAUUGGGCGUAAAGAGCUCGUAGGCGGUUCGUCGCGUCUGCUGUGAAAUCCUGAGGCUCAACCUCGGGACUGCAGUGGGUACGGGCGAACUAGAGUGUGGUAGGGGAGACUGGAAUUCCUGGUGUAGCGGUGGAAUGCGCAGAUAUCAGGAGGAACACCAAUGGCGAAGGCAGGUCUCUGGGCCACAACUGACGCUGAGGAGCGAAAGCAUGGGGAGCGAACAGGAUUAGAUACCCUGGUAGUCCAUGCCGUA